rnacentral:snoRNA from 1 species
CCCCUCUCAGGGUUGCACCUGGAGAGUUUCCAGUACUCUACCAGUAUUGGCUAUGGGAGGGAGAGUCAAGCAGAGGCAUUUCCAUUCCAUUCCUAGCUUGGGGAGUGGCUAGUGAGUGGAAGGCAAUCUGCUACAAGU